rnacentral:rRNA from 1 species
AGUGAACGCUGGCGGUAGGCCUAACACAUGCAAGUCGAACGGCAGCACAGUAAGAGCUUGCUCUUACGGGUGGCGAGUGGCGGACGGGUGAGGAAUACAUCGGAAUCUACUUUUUCGUGGGGGAUAACGUAGGGAAACUUACGAUAAUACCGCAUACGACCUACGGGUGAAAGCAGGGGAUAUUCGGACCUUGUGCGAUUGAAUGAGCCGAUGUCGGAUUAGCUAGUUGGCGGGGUAAAGGCCCACCAAGGCGACGAUCCGUAGCUGGUCUGAGAGGAUGAUCAGCCACACUAGAACUGAGACACGGUCCAGACUACUACGGGAGGCAGCAGUGGGGAAUAUUGGACAAAGGGCGCAAGCCUGAUCCAGCCAUACCGCGUGUGUGAAGAAGGCCUUCGGGUUGUAAAGCCCUUUUGUUGGGAAAGAAAAGCAGCAGGUUAAUACCCCGCUGUUCUGACGGUACCCAAAGAAUAAGCACCGGCUAACUUCGUG